AUACGUAGGUGACAAGCGUUAUCCGGAUUUACUGGGCGUAAAGGGCGUGUAGGCGGUCUUGCAAGUCAGAAGUGAAAUUCCUGAGCUCAACUCGGGCGCUGCUUCUGAAACUGCAGGACUUGAGUGCUGGAGGGGAUAGCGGAAUUCCUAGUGGAGCGGUAAAAUGCGCAGAUAUUAGGAAGAACACCGGUGGCGAAGGCGGCUUUCUUGACGGAAACUGAGGCUGAGGCGCGAAUGCGUGGGGGGCAAACAGGAUUAGAUGCCCUGGAGGUCCACGCCGUAAACGAUGAAUACUAGGUGUAGGGGGUAUCGACUCCCUCGGUGCCGCAGUUAACACAAUAAGUAUUCCGCCUGGGGAGUACGGCCGCAAGGUUGAAACUCAAAGGAAUUGACGGGG
rnacentral:rRNA from 1 species